GACGAACGCUGGCGGCGUGCCUAACACAUGCAAGUCGAACGAAAAGGCGCGGCUCUUGUGGGGUUCACGUUUGCGGAGGAGGGGUGAAACACGCGUGGAUACUGCACCUAUAAUUGGGAUAUCUUCUCGGAACUGCGGAUAUUACACGAUAGAAGAUCUUGAUCCAUAGGGUGGGAUAGAGAGUGUAGGCGUUUGUGGAUGGUCUCGCGGCUUCUCAGCCUGGUGGUGGGGUAGGGGCUUACCCAGGCUUUGAAGGGAACGAGGCCUGAGAGGGUGACCGGCCACACUGGGACUGAGAUACGGCACGGACUCGUACGGGAGGCAGGGGUGGGGAAUGUUGCACAAUGGGCGGAAGCCUGAUGCAGCAACGCCGCGUGCGGGAUGACGGCCUUCGGGUUGUAAACCGCUUUCGCCUGUGACGAAGCGUGAGUGACGGUAAUGGGUAAAGAAGCACCGGCUAACUACGUG
rnacentral:rRNA from 1 species